CCUACGGGGGGCAGCAGUAGGGAAUCUUCCACAAUGGACGAAAGUCUGAUGGAGCAACGCCGCGUGAGUGAAGAAGGUUUUCGGAUCGUAAAGCUCUGUUGUUGGUGAAGAAGGAUAGAGGUAGUAACUGGCCUUUAUUUGACGGUAAUCAACCAGAAAGUCACGGCUAACUACGUGCCAGCAGCCGCGGUAAUACGUAGGUGGCAAGCGUUGUCCGGAUUUAUUGGGCGUAAAGCGAGCGCAGGCGGAAGAAUAAGUCUGAUGUGAAAGCCCUCGGCUUAACCGAGGAACUGCAUCGGAAACUGUUUUUCUUGAGUGCAGAAGAGGAGAGUGGAACUCCAUGUGUAGCGGUGGAAUGCGUAGAUAUAUGGAAGAACACCAGUGGCGAAGGCGGCUCUCUGGUCUGCAACUGACGCUGAGGCUCGAAAGCAUGGGUAGCGAACAGGAUUAGAUACCCUGGUAGUC
rnacentral:rRNA from 1 species